GCGCUGGUGGUCUAACGGUAUGACAUUUGCCUUCCAAGCAAAUUGCCCGGGUUCGACUCCCGGCCGGCGCA
rnacentral:tRNA from 1 species